rnacentral:pre_miRNA from 1 species
CAUAUACUCCCUCCGUCCGAAAAUACUUGUCGGAGAAAUGGAUAUAUCUAGAUGUAUUUUAGUUCUAGAUACAUCCAUUUUUAUUCAUUUCCACGACAAAUAAUUCCGGACGAAGAGAGUAUGAC